CAGUCGCCGCGGUAAUACGAGGGGGGCAAGCGUUGUUCGGAAUUAUUGGGCGUAAGGGGUGCGUAGGCGGUUUGGCAAGUCUUGUGUGAAAUCUUCGGGCUCAACCCGAAGCCUGCACGAGAAACUGCCGGGCUUGAGUAUUGGAGAGGUGAGUGGAAUUUCCGGUGUAGCGGUGAAAUGCGUAGAUAUCGGAAGGAACACCUGUGGCGAAAGCGGCUCACUGGACAAUAACUGACGCUGAUGCACGAAAGCUAGGGGAGCAAACAGGAUUAGAUACCCGGGUAGUCCCUGUCUCUUAUAC
rnacentral:rRNA from 1 species